rnacentral:misc_RNA from 1 species
GCUGCUCUCAAUGGUUUGUUUUGUCAACAAUAAUUCGGGUUCGCCAUCUGUAUAUUCAUUCUGUGAUUCUAUUAUUUGCAAAAGUUAUAUGAAGAUAGCUUAUCCAGAUGAAGCAUUCUUUGUGUCUAUAUCAAUGAAAAUGGACCUAUGGACAACAUUCUUUGGCCACCGCCAGUGGUGUUACAUGCUCAAUUAUCUCUGUUUCCUUUUCAUUUUACCUUCCG